GGUCAUGGAGCAGGGGAAGUUUAUUGGUGAUCAGUGUCUGACAUCGAAGCCGGCUGAUGCAGCAGAGGACCCCUCCAGCUUGGGCAUCCAGCACACACAGGUUUUUUUCCGCCUUUCCAGUCCGCGUGGGGUGGAUUUUCCACUGGCGCUGCUCUGGGGCCUCGGCACCCACCUCUGGCAAUGCUCAUGUGGCUUACAGAAAAUGAGUGUGCUCUGCGGGGCAGGGGACCACACAGUCCUUGUUCGGAACUCAGCCAAGGGGCCACGCCUAACCACAGAGGAAGAGGAGAGAGGAACGAAUAGAUCUGGUGAGCGCUGAGCUGGCCUCUGACACAGGCGGGAGGUCAAGAUGUGGGCAGGAGGGCAGUCACAGUCAAGGCAGUGGCAGGCAGGCGCUGGCAAGCCCGGUGGGUUGGAUUGGGGAAUUACCAUGAACUUUAAAAAAAAAAAAGUGACAGAAAAUGAAGCCCUAAGAAGUCCAGAGAAGUGAGCUCAGAGUCAACAAAGGGAAGUAUUUUGUGAAGAGUCACAGCUCUCUCUCUCUCUCUUUCUCUCUUUCGUGUGUGUGUGUGUGUGUGUGUGUGUGUGUGUGUGUGGUGCUGUGGGUGGAUGGAGGGACCCAGGUCUUGUGAGUGCUGGGGGCCACUCUACCAUUGAACCACACCACCCCAAGCUGAGAUCUUCGGAUCCCCACAGUUUUGAGGCAAGAGAGAGACCAACCCACCAUCCUUGACUCAUCGACAAAGCCCAGUGAAAACACUUUGGCCAUUUGCGAGGAGUGAUAAACAGAGAUCACAUGCCGGUUGCCACGCUCAUUUGCCGUUAUCACAUGGAGUGGAGGCUGAAGGAACAGCCAUGUCUGGGAUAUGCUGGUGUAUCGCAGAAAGAAACGGAAGAUAAUUAGACCUGGGAGAUCAAUAAAAUUCCUGCCAUGCAAGCAUGAGGACCUGAAUUCAGAUGCCCAGGACCCACUUGCAAGUGUCCGCAACUCCAGCACUGAUGAGGAGAGUGACACUCUGUUUUUAAAAACUCAGCACGAGGCGCUCACGGUCAUACUCAGCUUCAUAAUACCAGCAGUCCAGUCCAAAGGCCAACACCAAGCCGCAACACGAAUCGGCACGAUUCAGAAGAUAAACAAGUCAGCAAGAGCUAAAAGACUCAGUUGGAGUGCCCCGAGAAGUUCUCUCUGUGAAGUCAAGUGCUGAAGCAUGAAGAUCAGUGCAGCAACGUUGAUCCAAGAAGGGAUGUCUCACUGUCCGUGGGCUUCUACGAAUCGCCUCUCCUCAGAGUCCACCCAUGGGUGUUCUCAGCUGGCCAAGUCACACCCCUCGCCCAAGACAGCUCACAGCAAAAACAUCGAGUGCCCUCUCACAAGCCAGCCUCCAGCAAAACAUCAUGUGACUCCACUGAGUCUUCAAAGAAACCAGACACUUCCACUUCAGGACCCAAAGCUCUCCUGACCUUGUAGGCACUACAUGUACUCGGUGCACAGAUGAACUCAGGCAUGUACUCAGGCAAUAAUAAAAGAAACCCACACAAUAAUAAAAGAAACA